CCUACGGGUGGCAGCAGUCGAGAAUCAUUCACAAUGGGGGAAACCCUGAUGGUGCGACGCCGCGUGGGGGAAUGAAGGUCUUCGGAUUGUAAACCCCUGUUAUGUGGGAGCAAAUUAAAAAGAUAGUACCACAAGAGGAAGAGACGGCUAACUCUGUGCCAGCAGCCGCGGUAAUACAGAGGUCUCAAGCGUUGUUCGGAAUCACUGGGCGUAAAGCGUGCGUAGGCUGUUUCGUAAGUCGUGUGUGAACGGCGCGGGGUCAACCCGCGGACGGCACAUGAUACUGCGAGACUAGAGUAAUGGAGGGGGAACCGGAAUUCGCGGUGUAGCAGUGAAAUGCGUAGAUAUCGAGAGGAACACUCGUGGCGAAGGCGGGUUCCUGGACAUUAACUGACGCUGAGGUACGAAGGCCAGGGGAGCGAAAGGGAUUAGAUACCCUAGUAGUC
rnacentral:rRNA from 1 species